AACGCAAAUCGCGCUCGAGGCCUCGGCCGAGAGCAUGCCUGCCUCAGCGUCUUUUUCCAAUCCUCCCCCGAUCGAGUGCUUGCACAUCGAGAGGGGGGAGCUGGUCGUUUCGAGCUCGGCCUCGAAUCGGCUGAAAGACAGAAGCGCCACCCGCCUCGCAAAGGGUGACCGAAAGGUGACAGCCUUCGGGCCGGUCCGAUCGGUGCCCGAGGCCGGGUGAGUGCUCUCGACCGGAGAACCACUUUAACUUUUGACCUGAGUUCAGGCAAGGCUACCCGCUGAACUUAA
rnacentral:misc_RNA from 1 species